rnacentral:rRNA from 1 species
AGAGUUUGAUCAUGGCUCAGAUUGAACGCUGGCGGAAUGCUUUACACAUGCAAGUCGAACGGCAGCACGGGAGCUUGCUCCUGGUGGCGAGUGGCGAACGGGUGAGUAAUGCGUCGGAACGUACCGAGUAAUGGGGGGAUAACGCAGCGAAAGCUGUGCUAAUACCGCAUACGCCCUGAGGGGGAAAGUGGGGGAUCGCAAGACCUCACGUUAUUCGAGCGGCCGACGUCUGAUUAGCUAGUUGGUGGGGUAAUGGCCUACCAAGGCGACGAUCAGUAGCGGGUCUGAGAGGAUGAUCCGCCACACUGGAACUGAGACACGGUCCAGACUCCUACGGGAGGCAGCAGUGGGGAAUUUUGGACAAUGGGGGCAACCCUGAUCCAGCCAUUCCGCGUGAGUGAAGAAGGCCUUCGGGUUGUAAAGCUCUUUCAGCCGGAACGAAACGGUAUUCCUUAAUACGGGAUGCUAAUGACGGUACCGGCAGAAGAAGCACCGGCUAACUACGUGCCAGCAGCCGCGGUAAUACGUAGGGUGCGAGCGUUAAUCGGAAUUACUGGGCGUAAAGCGUGCGCAGGCGGAUUGUUAAGCAAGAUGUGAAAUCCCCGGGCUUAACCUGGGAAUGGCAUUUUGAACUGGCAGUCUAGAGUGUGUCAGAGGGGGGUGGAAUUCCCGUGUAGCAGUGAAAUGCGUAGAUAUGUGGAGGAACACCAAUGGCGAAGGCAGCCCCCUGGGAUAACACUGACGCUCAUGUACGAAAGCGUGGGUAGCAAACAGGAUUAGAUACCCUAGUAGUCC